UUGUUUUAACGUGAGUGUGCGGUCCUCACGGCUACAUCUCACCCUUGUUCUCUCUACCCUCGUGUUAGCUUUGGCGGGCCCACCGGCCGCCACCUGGUCCCCGGGGGACUCACGUCCCCGGACCCCGCGCCCGCCGAAGCUCUCUUUGAACCCUGAUGAAGAUGGGCUGUCUCACUACAAUCAAACUUGUCUUAACUUUCAACAUUACAUCUCUUCAUUCCUGCCUCCAUGAAUAACGCAGCGAAAUGUGAUAAUUAAUGUACAUUGAAAUUUUGAAUUUUCUCAUCUUAAUCUUUAAAUAUCAUUUUCCCUCCGGUCUUGGGGGGAUGCCUGUCCGAGAGACAUUUUUGUCAUCAUUCACGCUUUGUGUGUUAGGUGUAGUCCCCCCCGGGACCUGGCCUAAAGGCAGCCUCCACCUCCCUCUGGUCCUCGAACGUGCGUGCCUCUGUCACUCGGUGGCCACGGAGGGGCGGCGAUAGCUCACCGCCAUAAUUUACAACGGUGGAAGUCGGAUCAGGUAGAACUUACCCGCUAAAUUUAUCCUUCUCAAAUUCCGGAGGAAAAA
rnacentral:rRNA from 1 species